ACGAACGCUGGCGGCGUGCUUAACACAUGCAAGUCGAGCGGUAAGGCCCUUUCGGGGGUACACGAGCGGCGAACGGGUGAGUAACACGUGGGUGACCUGCCCUCAGCUCUGGGAUAAGCCUGGGAAACCGGGUCUAAUACUGGAUAUGACUCCAUGACGCAUGUUGUGGGGUGGAAAGCCUUGUGCGGCUGAGGAUGGGCCCGCGGCCUAUCAGCUUGUUGGUGGGGUGANGGCCUACCAAGGCGACGACGGGUAGCCGGCCUGAGAGGGCGACCGGCCACACUGGGACUGAGACACGGCCCAGACUCCUACGGGAGGCAGCAGUGGGGAAUCUUGCGCAAUGGGCGAAAGCCUGACGCAGCGACGCCGCGUGAGGGAUGACGGCCUCGG
rnacentral:rRNA from 1 species